CGCUCUCCACCACAUGUGGUGGGAGCCUUUUCGCAGUACAUAGUGGGAAGCGAAGAAGAGAAGCAUGUCAGAGCGUGAGGUGUGGUGGUGAAUGGCCAAGGCAUUUGACUCAAUAACCAUAACUCUGGAACGAGUAGCUGGGUGGAGACAUUCGUCUGUUGGAAAGUUGGUGGGCAGGUCAAGCCCAUAUGCUGGAAGAAGAGAUGGAUGGAUUCACUCAGCACAUUCAAGAAAUGGGUGUGGCCACGUGUGGAGCAAACCUGAA